rnacentral:rRNA from 1 species
ACGGAAGGCAGCAGUGAGGAAUAUUGGUCAAUGGACGGAAGUCUGAACCAGCCAUGCCGCGUGCAGGAAUAAGGCCCUAUGGGUCGUAAACUGCUUUUGUGGUGGAGCAAUAAGUCGUACGUGUACGGCGAUGAGAGUACAUCACGAAUAAGCAUCGGCUAACUCCGUGCCAGCAGCCGCGGUAAUACGGAGGAUGCAAGCGUUAUCCGGAUUUAUUGGGUUUAAAGGGUGCGCAGGCGGGAUGUCAAGUCAGUGGUGAAAUGGUGCGGCUCAACCGUAGCAUUGCCGUUGAAACUGGCGUCCUUGAGUGCGAAUGAGGUACGCGGAACGUGUCAUGUAGCGGUGAAAUGCAUAGAUAUGACACAGAACACCGAUUGCGAAGGCAGCGUACUGGGACGCGACUGACGCUGAGGCACGAAAGUGCGGGGAUCGAACAGGAUUAGAUACCCUGGUA